UCUCACUGGCUGCAACAGGGGAGGGGGGCAGGUGUUAUGAGCGAAGCCCGGCAAGGUCAGGUCCACUGCAAGUCUGCAACCGGUGUGGCUAGAGACUAGAGAGGGAGCGCCAUGGGCAGCCGAUCUCUUGCCUUCAAUUCUCCAGUACUCUCCCCAUUCAUGGCAACACCAACAGGCUGCAUCCUAGGCCAUGUUUAGUUACUCCCAACUCCCAACUUUGACACUAUGCAAAAAGAAGAUUCCCCAUCACAUCAAACUUGCGGUACAUGCAUGGAG
rnacentral:lncRNA from 1 species